rnacentral:rRNA from 1 species
GUGAAAUUGUUGAAAGGGAAACGAUUGAAGUCAGUCGUGCGGUCACUAACUCAACGGCCGUUGUGAGCUUUCAACGGAAGCGGCGAGCCUCAAAACCGCCACUUCUGUUGAAAGCUCGCAACGACCGUGUAAUUUGGUGUUUGCUGGUCAGCAUCAAUUUCGAUUGUCAUAAAAAGGUCGAGGGGAUGUGGCUCCUUCGGGAGUGUUAUAACCCUCGGCGGAAUGUGGCGAUCGGGAUUGAGGUUUGCAACGGUGCCAGUUUCCUGGCCUCUCGUCGGCGCCCGGGUGGCGACAGCUUGCUGACGUCGUUCGGAUCAGUUGGCGAAAAGGUUGGAGCGACUGAAUCGUUUAAGGAUGCUGACGUAAUGGCUUUAAACGAC